UACGUAGGGUGCGAGCGUUGUCCGGAAUUAUUGGGCGUAAAGGGCUCGUAGGCGGUCUGUCGCGUCGGUAGUGAAAACUCAGGGCUUAACCCUGAGCCUGCAGUCGAUACGGGCAGACUAGAGUUCGGUAGGGGAGACUGGAAUUCCUGGUGUAGCGGUGAAAUGCGCAGAUAUCAGGAGGAACACCGGUGGCGAAGGCGGGUCUCUGGGCCGAAACUGACGCUGAGGAGCGAAAGCGUGGGGAGCGAACAGG
rnacentral:rRNA from 1 species